rnacentral:rRNA from 1 species
GAUAUGACGUGCUUGCACUGAAUUGACGUUGGAUUCCCAGUGAGCGGCGGACGGGUGAGUAACACGUGGGCAACCUGCCCUGAAGCGGGGGAUAACAUCUGGAAACAGGUGCUAAUACCGCAUAACAACGAAAACCACAUGGUUUUCGUUUCAAAGAUGGUUUCGGCUAUCACUUCAGGAUGGGCCCGCGGUGCAUUAGCUAGUUGGUAAGGUAACGGCUUACCAAGGCGAUGAUGCAUAGCCGAGUUGAGAGACUGAUCGGCCACAAUGGAACUGAGACACGGUCCAUACUCCUACGGGAGGCAGCAGUAGGGAAUCUUCCACAAUGGGCGCAAGCCUGAUGGAGCAACACCGCGUGAGUGAAGAAGGGUUUCGGCUCGUAAAGCUCUGUUGUUGGAGAAGAACGUGCGUGAGAGUAACUGUUCACGCAGUGACGGUAUCCAACCAGAAAGUCACGGCUAACUACGUGCCAGCAGCCGCGGUAAUACGUAGGUGGCAAGCGUUAUCCGGAUUUAUUGGGCGUAAAGCGAGCGCAGGCGGUUGCUUAGGUCUGAUGUGAAAGCCUUCGGCUUAACCGAAGAAGUGCAUCGGAAACCGGGCGACUUGAGUGCAGAAGAGGACAGUGGAACUCCAUGUGUAGCGGUGGAAUGCGUAGAUAUAUGGAAGAACACCAGUGGCGAAGGCGGCUGUCUGGUCUGCAACUGACGCUGAGGCUCGAAAGCAUGGGUAGCGAACAGGAUUAGAUACCCUGGUAGUCCAUGCCGUAAACGAUGAGUGCUAGGUGUUGGAGGGUUUCCGCCCUUCAGUGCCGGAGCUAACGCAUUAAGCACUCCGCCUGGGGAGUACGACCGCAAGGUUGAAACUCAAAGGAAUUGACGGGGGCCCGCACAAGCGGUGGAGCAUGUGGUUUAAUUCGAAGCUACGCGAAGAACCUUACCAGGUCUUGACAUCUUGCGCUAACCUAAGAGAUUAG